AACGCGAAGAACCUUACCAAGUCUUGACAUCCUUCUGACCGGACAGUAAUAUGUCCUUUCCUUCUGGACAGAAGAGACAGGUGGUGCAUGGUUGUCGUCAGCUCGUGUCGUGAGAUGUUGGUUAAGUCCCGCAACGAGCGCAACCCUUAUCCCCAGUAGCCAGCAUUUCGGAUGGGCACUCUGAGGAGACUGCCAGGGAUAACCUGGAGGAAGGUGGGGAUGACGUCAAAUCAUCAUGCCCCUUAUGACUUGGGCUACACACGUGCUACAAUGGCGUAAACAAAGGGAAGCGAGACCGUGAGGUGGAGCAAAUCCCAAAAAUAACGUCUCAGUUCGGACUGUAGUCUGCAACCCGACUACACGAAGCUGGAAUCGCUAGUAAUCGCAGAUCAGAAUGCUGCGGUGAAUACGUUCCCGGGUCUUGUACACAC
rnacentral:rRNA from 1 species